rnacentral:rRNA from 1 species
GACGAACGCUGGCGGCGUGCCUAAUACAUGCAAGUCGAACGCACUUGGGACGGGUGAGUAACACGUGGGUAACCUCCCAUCAGAGGGGAUAACACUUGGAAACAGGUGCUAAACCGAUACUUCUGUAUGGACCAUCGGUGCAUUAGCUAGUUGGUGAGGUAACGGCUCCCAAAGGCCACGAUGCAUAGCCGACCGUGGAGGGGGAUCGGCCACACUGGGACUGAGCCACGGCCCAGACUCCUACGGGAGGCAGCAGUAGGGAAUCUUCGGCAAUGGACGAAAGUCUGACCGAGCAACGCCGCGUGAGUGAAGAAGGUUUUCUGAUAGUAAAACUCUGUUGUUAGAGAAGCGGGAAAUAAAAAGAAAGCCACGGCUAACGACGUGCCAGCAGCCGCGGUAAUAG